GACGAACGCUGGCGGCGUGCCUAAUACAUGCAAGUCGAACGAACAGACCAGGAGUUUGCUCCUAUGACGUUAGCGGCGGACGGGAGCGUCACAUGUGGAUAAACUACCUAUCCGACUGGGAUAAUUAUGGGAAACCGGAGCUAAUACCGAAUAAUUUAUUGCCCCUCAUUGUUCAAUCGUUAAAUUCGGUUUUUCUGUCGGUAAAAGCUGGAUACGCGCACCAUUCACUUGUUGGUAAGGUAACGGCUUAGCAAGGCAGCGAGGCGUAAACGACCUCAGCGGGUGGUCGGCUACAUGGGAUGUGAGACAGGGUCCACACUCUGAGGGUAGGCAGCAGUAGGGAAUCUUCCGCAAUGGAGGAGAGCCUGACGGUGCAACGUGGGGGGAGUGAUGAAGCUCUUCUGAUCGUAAAGCUCUGUUAUUAGUGGAGUUCAAAUGUGUAAGUACCUAUGCACGUAUUGACGGUACCGGGUCAGAAAGCCACGGCUAACUACGUG
rnacentral:rRNA from 1 species